CCUACGGGAGGCAGCAGUGAGGAAUAUUGGUCAAUGGACGAGAGUCUGAACCAGCCAAGUAGCGUGAAGGAUGACUGCCCUAUGGGUUGUAAACUUCUUUUAUAUGGGAAUAAAAUGUUCCACGUGUGGGCUUUUGUAUAGACCCUAUGAAUAAGGAUCGGCUAACUCCGUGCCAGCAGCCGCGGUAAUACGGAGGAUCCGAGUGUUAUCCGGAUUUAUUGGGUUUAAAGGGAGCGUAGGUGGAUUGUUAAGUCAGGUGUGAAAGUUUGGGGCUCAACCGUAAAAGUGCAGUUGAAACUGGCAGUCUUGAGUAAAGUAGAGGUGGGCGGAAUUCGUGGUGUAGCGGUGAAAUGCUUAGAUAUCACGAAGAACUCCGAUUGCGAAGGCAGCAUACUGGAGUGCAACUGACACUGAGGCUCGAAAGUGUGGGUAUCAAACAGGAUUAGAUACCCUUGUAGUC
rnacentral:rRNA from 1 species